rnacentral:misc_RNA from 1 species
AAGUCGUAACAAGGUUACCGUAGGUGAACCUGCGGUAGGAUCAUUGACACUUUUUGACACACACAAAAAAAACAUGCGAAUUUUGAAGAAAGUUCAAUUUUUUUUUUUCUUAAAAAUAAAAAUUUUUCAAUCCUUUCAAACCAUUAGAUUUCUAUUAUUGAAAUUUAUACGAUUACAUUUUCAACAAUGGAUCUCUUGGCUCUC